AGCUGCGUGAUGAGCACAAAGCGAACUCUUCUUUCGCCUUUUACUAAAGAAUACCGUGUGCUCGUCACAUAGAGCAGCAUACGCUAAUUUUUUAAUGGGUUCUCGUUAAAGAGAUCC